AGUGAACGCUGGCGGCGUGCUUAACACAUGCAAGUCGAACGAGAACGGAUUAUAGCUUGCUAUAAUUGUCAGCUAAGUGGCGCACGGGUGAGUAAUGUAUAGGUAAUAUGCCUCUUACUAAGGGAUAACAAAUGGAAACGUUUGCUAAUACCUUAUACUCCUUAUUAACAGAAGUUAAUAAGGGAAAGAUUUAUUGGUAAGAGAUUAGCCUGUAUUGUAUCAGUUAGUUGGUGGGGUAAUGGCUUACCAAGACUAUGACACAUAACUGGUUUGAGAGGAUGAUCAGUCACACUGGAACUGAGACACGGUCCAGACUCCUACGGGAGGCAGCAGUGGGGAAUAUUGCACAAUGGACGAAAGUCUGAUGCAGCAACGCCGCGUGGAGGACGACACACUUCGGUGCGUAAACUCCUUUUAUAUGAGAAGAUAAUGACGGUAUUAUAUGAAUAAGCACCGGCUAACUCCGUGCCAGCCGCCGCCGUAAUAC
rnacentral:rRNA from 1 species